GGCAGUUCUCGGUGAUGCACCCCAGAAUCAGGCUCCCUCCUCUCUGGUUCCGGGUGUGUCACCAGAGAGCCGCA
rfam:Myotis lucifugus cont2.19612, whole genome shotgun sequence.